rnacentral:lncRNA from 1 species
AUUUAUUUAUUUCGUCAAAUUGAAUUUACCCAUCAGUGCGGACACGCGCUAGUAUUGUCUCUGUUCAUAGGGUUACUGGAUGCCCAGGAAGAAAUGGAAACGCGAGGAGAAGGAGGAGGAGGAGGAGAAGGAGGAAGAGGAGGAGAUGGAGGACAGUUCCUCAUGGAGCAUCCCCACCUACAGUGCGGAGCUGGCAGGGUGCAGGGCAGGCUGGAAUGUUGAACCCAUGGAUAAACCCUUCCUCCCCAAGCAGAGCUCUCGAAGGAAAACAUCACAAGGGCAGCAAUCUGUGAGCACUGGGUCUGCUGUAUGGUCAUCCUGACAACAGAGCUGAGGAAAGAGCUAAUCAGUGGCUUCUCAUCUAGGCUUUUUGUAUAAAAAAGAUCCAUGGUAAUGAUCGCUUGCAUUCUUGUAUACCAAGAAGUGAAUUUAAUUAUGUUUUCCUAAAAACUUAAGUACAGAAGGCUUUUGCAGUUCUUACAGUUUGAAGGCAGCUCUAGGAAAACACACUUUAAGGGAGUUUCAACUCCAUGUAGGCAUUUGCAUGGCUUGUUCUUUUGGAUUUUCCCUCUGAAUCUGGCAGCUUAAGCAUUAGCAAGACAGGAACCACAGCUGCUCCAUUAGUGGAGUUCAAGCAUGGGAACUCAUUUCUCAUUUAAGCAAUGACCUGAUUGCUUCACUGAAACUUUCAACUGUUGCUGUUUCUCUUGAUUUCAGUGGCUGUUGUCUUGUAUAUAGAGGAGAAAAGCACUGUUAGAAGAUGUCUGUAGGCAUAAUUCAAAUAAUGUGAUAGCACUCCACUAGUGUGCAAUUACAGACAAAAAGUUAUUUAUGUGUUGCUCAGAAAUGUAAGUGCAGGAUGUCUGCAGGCAACAGUUCCUAUUAACAUCCAUAGUGAAAAAUUGUGGAUUUCCCUUACUUCCUGUAAAAAGAGGUGCUUAGACUUCACUUUUGAAUAUUUCACAGAUUGUUUUGCUAGCAGCUUCACCCCACUUGAAGAAACUGCCAGAAGAUUGUCUGUUUUACCAUAUGGAUCCUCUGUAGUUCUCACAUGUAUAAUUUCCAUUUUUCUGAACUGAGAGAUAGAAGGAGGAGUUUCUGCUGUGGUGUAUGUAUAGUCAACAGGAAAUUUUACCUAGGGGGUAAAUAGAGGAUUUGCAAUCUUACAGACAACUGUGGGUCAUGCUGCGGUUGUGGAUUCAUGCUUCAUUGCAGCUGCUGCGCAAGAAGUUACCUUCCCAAGCCCUCUUCUGCAACUGACUGCUCAUGAAAGAUGCCACACUGGCUUUAGUAGUAUGAAUGUAUGGAUAUCUACCCUGUAA